UGCACACUCACAGCUUCAUAAAGGGAAAAAAAGAAGAGGGAAAAUCCUGAAAAUAAUACAUUUUCCUUUCUGAUAAGCUUGCAACCUUCAACAGGAUCAAAACCAGUAGGCAGAUUUCCACUUGGGAUUGGCUUUAUCUGCAAAAUAGAAAAGUUCCAUGGAUUGUGAUGCGCAAUUCCAGUAUUACAAUUGAAAAAAAUAAGGUAAAAUUGAAAAAACAUGAAGCUGAAGAUCUGUUGUUAAUUGUGAUGCACAAGUCCAGUAUUACAAUUUCAGGCAUCAUAAAAUGUUUUGUAAAACUAUCCAGGCACUCACACAUUUGGCAGCACAUAAAGCAUAAGAAAGGAAACUCUAUGAGAGGUUUACAUGAAGCAUGCUUCACUCAGUAAUACCAUAUACGAUGUCAUAAUAGGCAAAUCAUACAUGAUAUAUUUGUCACUAGAUCUUACAGAAGUGAAACUAACAUGCUAAAGCUGCCCAUCGAUUGAUCCAAGCCCAAAUUUACACCCAAUUUCUAGUGAAACUGAGCUGAGACAAUAACUACAUCAUAAUCUAACACUAUGCUCCAGCACCAGCAAUUUCCAUUGGAUCAAUAUUGCAGAUACCAUAAUUGCACUUAUAGAUUCUAGAAACUCGUACUUCUUUUUUGCUUCAAUAUUCAUUAGAGAAUUUACCUGUUUUCCUUAAACCAAAAAGAAAAGUCACGAAAUCGUGCAUGAAAUAUAACGAGAAUUGAACAUAAAUAAGCAGGGAGUUUCACAGCCUAAGUGAACAUACUAAAUUGAAGCGGGUUCUUUCAAAAGCAGAUUUUGAAUUCUCUAGUUACUUACGGGAUCUUGGAAAGAAUGCUCAAGAUUUGCACCUAAAACAUCUAAUAUUUGCACCUAAUAUUCAAGAUUUCACCUAGUGGACUCGGAGGUAUUUAAAAUUUUAUCAAUGCAGAUCAGUAUAAGCUAUCAGAUACUGGAGACAACAGAAUAGAUACCUAAGCAGAAAAGACCAGAUUGUGUAAACAUUCCAUCGAGGUAACUAGAAACAUACUUUUUCAUAUUAAGGUGAGCAAAGAGAACGAAUCAAGCACAUAAGUUUUCAAGAAAAAGGC
rnacentral:lncRNA from 1 species